rnacentral:rRNA from 1 species
CCUACGGGGGGCAGCAGUGGGGAAUAUUGGACAAUGGGGGGAACCCUGAUCCAGCCAUGCCGCGUGUGUGAAGAAGGCCCUCGGGUUGUAAAGCACUUUCAGUGAGGAAGAACGCCUGGUGGUUAAUACCCAUCAGGAAAGACAUCACUCACAGAAGAAGCACCGGCUAACUCCGUGCCAGCAGCCGCGGUAAUACGGAGGGUGCGAGCGUUAAUCGGAAUUACUGGGCGUAAAGCGCGCGUAGGUGGCUUGAUAAGCCGGUUGUGAAAGUCCCGGGCUCAACCUGGGAACGGCAUCCGGAACUGUCAAGCUAGAGUGCAGGAGAGGAAGGUAGAAUUCCCGGUGUAGCGGUGAAAUGCGUAGAGAUCGGGAGGAAUACCAGUGGCGAAGGCGGCCUUCUGGACUGACACUGACACUGAGGUGCGAAAGCGUGGGUAGCAAACAGGAUUAGAUACCCGUGUAGUC